CCCGGGGGUGCCCCCUGCGCCCCCGAGCCACCCAGUCACACACACGAGCUCUUCAGGACUCACCUCGGGCCCACGGACGAGCCGGCGCUCCGCCCCUUCUGUUCCCAACGUCCUUACGCAGAACAAAGGUAAGUCGCGGGGUUGCGAGCCCGCCUCCCCGCCGAGCCAAGAUGACCUGCGGGUGCCUGACGCUCCUUGACGAGGACGGGCCGUGAGGGCCGCACCGCCUCUGCCUGAACCCCUGUCACCUUGGAGAUCUCCGCUGUUUCCAGCGCUCGCGGCCGCCCCGGGACGGUUUCCUCCUGCGUGUUCCUCCUCAGGCCACCACAGACGAGGUCAAGGCCGUUUGUCCAGGUUUUGAGGUGCCGUCCCCGUGGUUACCACGUCGGAGCCACCGCCCGUGCUCACACCGGCACUCCCUCGCGAUCGCACACCCGCGGCUUCGAGCUCGUGGUUCCCUCCUCCCUGCAGUGAAGCUGCCAACUGGACCCCCAAGUGCACCCUCGCUUCGGACUCUACUUUGGUCUCUCCCUUGGUCUCUCCCUUGUCUUGUCUUGUCUUGUCUUGUCUUGAAUAUUCAUUAGCAGGACCUGCAAUAACCUCCUUUCAGCUGAUCGUUACUACAUUACUCUUGACUGUAUUUAGUCGCCUCUGACGAUGCCAUUUGUCCCAUAAAAUCUUUGAGACUAAUCGGUGUCAGGGGUGGGGUUGGGGAGGUUAGAUUUCUCCUCCUGUACUCAGAUUGGACUAGAAACCCCUGAAACAAAGCCCUCCUUGUCUGCUUCAGCCGAGCGUUCAUCUCUUCGUUUAUCCGGUGACAUUCACGGAGUGUCACGGUGCUGAGCGCAGGCCACAAAGAAGACAUUCCUUGCAGGGAAACGUGGUGAAUGCGACGAGGACAUGUAGUAUGUGCUCUGGAAGCACAAGGAGGCACCACUCUGACUUGGGGGAACCUGUGGAAGACUCUAGAAAGCUGAGCCUUAAUAAGGAAUUACCUGCGAGAAGAAAGGGAAGAAGGGAAUUUCAGGAAGGUGCAAUAGCAUGCGUCCCAGCGGUGAUGAAUCCAGGAAUCCCGAUGACUCCAGGAAUCCCGAUGAAUCCAGAAAUCCAACACCAUUGGAUCUUGAAGAGUGAAUGUUGAUGGAAUCAGAACGGACAGUACCUUGUUCACGAAGGUCUCAGGCCACUAAGGAGUUGGGAAGUUUUAUCAUGAAGACUGUGGAAAGCCAUUAAAGCUUUUAGGCAGGACGUCCGCAGUAAGGUUUGGAAGACUCUAGCCAAGUUAAAAGCAGAUAGAGCAAGUUAGCGGGUGAGAUCAUAGAAAUGAGUGAUGAGUUAAGAAGAAGGAAGCAAGAAAUUGUGAAUGGAUUGAACAUAUUUUUGGAAGAAAAUGAGGCUUAAUAUAAAAAUUAAGAAGUUUGGUAUAAUUACAAAUGAAGAAUUCAGAAAAUCACCGGGAAAUUCUUGGAAAAGAAGAGAAAGAGACUGGAACGCUUUGGACUCCUUUGAUACUCUACAUUAACAUUUCCUCUCCAAGUGUUAUAUAUCAAAGUGAAGAUAAUGGCCAAAUUAAAAUAUUUCAGUGUUCUUUCUUAUCACCAAUACAUCAAUAUUUUCAUUGACAUUGAAUAUGUAAUUGUCUCAUAAUGUCACUGUUAUAUCUUAUAAUAUUUUAAAAGUAUUUAUCCAAGUGUAUUAAAUUACUAGAGAUACUUUUUAAAAAAGAUUCAGUUUAUUUAUUCAUGAGAGAUAGAGACAGAGACACAGGCAGAGGCAGAAGCAGGCUCCCUGCAGGGACAUCACGAUGCAGGACUCGAUCCUGGGACUCUGGGGUCAUGCCCUGAGCCAAAGGGAAAUGUUCAACCACUGAGCCACCCAGGCCCCCCUACUCUAGAUAUUUUAAGUUGAUUGUAGUAUAUUAUGUUUUAAGAACAAACAAAAAAGCCAAAACUGUAUAGUUACAUUUACAUGGAAUUCACAAAUUAUGGUUACUUUGACUUCCUUUAGGUGAGUUAUUAUUGAAUAUUUAUCAUAAAAAUAUUGAAUUUCCUUAUGGUGACCUUGGAUUAAAUACAACUACAGAUUAGCUGAAUACUGGUCAAAAUAAAUUAUAAGCUCAAGCUUCAUUAUCAUUUGUAGUUUGAACAUAACAAAUCUGAUACAGUGUUACUUCAUAAUUCUGAUGCUCUUUGCAGUAAAUUUGAUAUAGAACAGUUGCUAAAGAAACCGUGUUCAAAUGUGUGACCAUUUUUAUGGAAAACAUCUGGGGUAAUUAUAAUUAGUUCAGGAUGUGUACUGUUUAAAAAUAAUCUUGAAUUCAUGGAGAAAGAAGUGUAUCUUCAAUGAGUAGAAUAAUCCAAGUUAGUAUAAAAAAUUCUUUAAGUUAUUGGUAGCUGUGCUUAGAGUAUAAUUUUAGAGUAUUCCAAAAGGAAAUGAGUAACUUUUAUGUAAAAUGCCAAUUUGGCACUUUACACCUGUUAGUGUGUUUCGUUUAGAACAGCUGUGUCUUUUAUUAUCAGUAAACAGAUGCAGAAAGUAAUGGAAUGUUUUAAAGCAAUAUGUUAAUCCUGUCUUCCACUACUGAACUGUCUCACAAUAUAGUGAUUAAAUAUUGACUGUGCAGCUGUUGCUUACAAUUAUAGAAUUUCUUAGUUAAUUUCUCCUUCCCAGGCCCAAAUGAGAUCUAAUUUCUAAUCUUAAAGUGUUCAUUAUGUAGUUUAUUAUAAUUUGAUUUCUAAGGAUAAUAUAUUUGAUUCUUGAGAUAGAUUCAUAUGUUUAUAAAACGAUUGUUUCUGAAUUGACUAAUAUUCUAAGUGGCAUAAAUAAUUUUUAAAAGUAUUUUAAAAAGUAAAUUUGUUCCUGAAUAUGAAGAUGACUAUUUAAAUGUAACAAUUUCAUGCUUGAAAACUGCCAUCAAUGAAAUAAAAAGGGAAUUAUGGUUGUUUUAUCAAAUAUUUAUGGAGAUUUGAUAAGCUCCUGCAAAUUAUUUCAGUCUCGUGGCCCUUUUGCAGUUUAAUUAUGUUUUAAUCCUUACAUCUCACCUUGUCAGAAAAGAUAUUUUAGAUGCCACAUCAAUAAUUAUCACUUUUAUACUUAAGCAGUUGUAUUAGGUAAAAUUAUUAUUAGCUGACAUUUAUUGUGCUAUAUCUGAAAGGAUUUAUGCAAAGAACUCUACAUGUAUUAUAAUAUUCUUACCCCUUUUUGUAGAUGAGGAAGUUCAACCUUAGAAAUAUGAUGUAAAUGGACCAAGGCCUUACUCCUGGGAAGUGUUGAAGACUGUUUAAACCCAGGCAUUUUCACCCUCAAGUCUCUUGUUCCUUUUAUUUAUUUAUUUUUUUAUCUAUUUAUUUGAGGGGUGGCGCAUGAGCAGGGGGAGGGGCAGAGGAAAAGGGAGAAGACUCAGGGGCUCGAUCCCAAGACCCUGAGGUCAUGGCCUGAGCCCAAGGCAGACACUUAACUGACAGCCCCAAGCUCCUUGUUCUUAACAACUUUUCAUUUUGCCUGCCUUUAGCAUCUAAUACUGACAUGAUAUAGAAGGGAGAUUACAGAAAAUGAACUUUGUGUCCUUUUUUUGAAGCCACUAUGUGCAUUCCAAGUGACAGUUCUCUCAUUUAGUCCUUUUGCCUAAAUAAAAAACAACUAAAACAUGCACGGAAAGAUGAAGAGCUCCAGUUCUUGUUAUUUCACCACACGAUAACUGUGUCAGUGCUCUGCAACAUCAUCAGAGCUUGCCUGUUUGCUCAAUGUUGUGUUUAUGCCAUAUAUUGGUAUUGAGACAUAAAUACUUCAUUUUCACUAAGAGAAAGCUAAAGUGACACUCCUUGGAUGGCCUUGAAAGUGUACUUCCGUGCAGUGACCUGCCUAAGGAAGCCAUGUGGAAUGGAGCUGAGACGGACCAAUAAAUGAUGAUCAGCAAGAAAAGGGGGACCUCAGUCAUACAACCCCAAGGAACCAAAUUCUGCCAACAAAAAAGAAUGAGCUUGGAAGAGGAUUUUUCCCCAAGGCCUCCUGAUAAGAACUUAUCUAGUGACAGUUUGAUGCCAGCCUUGUGAUACUCUUUGCAGAGAAUCCCACCUUGCCUUGCCCGGCUUCUGACAUAGAGAACUAAAAUACCAAAUAUCUGCUCGAUAAGGAUGUUGUUGAUGAUUCCUUGCACUGGGAGAAAGUUCCAGUGAGACCUGAAAUGACUCAACCCCCAGGGAGCAGACGGCCUUGAAGUCUACCCACAGACUCUCCGGCGAGGCCGAUGGUGCCGCAGCUUCCUGCGUCCUUCAGCUCAGCUCCGUGACAUCUUGCAAAGACAGAGAUCCUCCUUCCCACUCCCACACGGCGGCGGCCUGGGAAGGGAGCCCGGACCAGCUGCCACCGACACGAGCCCCGCGCCACACACCCAGCUACUCACUCUCGGCGGGCAUGGCAAUGACCGUCUCGGUGGUGGCGUGGUAGUCGUCGUCCUCCAGGGAGCCGUCGCUGCUGUCAUCCCUCUGGACGUCGUACUGGUCGAUCAGCUCCCGCAGCGGAGGAGCCCGCGGCAAGAGUUGUCUGACAGCAUCUCUGCUGAUGUUGGGAGCCGUUUCCAGGCGAAGUUUGCUGAGGAUUUGAAUUUUUAUGGCUUCUAUCCUUGAAGACUUAGUGUUUUGCCUCCACAUACAUGCAUUACACAGCCCCUCCUUUUCCACAUUUUCUUUUUGCUCACUGUUCUCACUUAGAUCGACUGGGCCAGCAACAAUCAGCACAAACAGUAAUGCCAAGCAAAAUCCUAGAGCCUGUACAGUCUGAGAGACAACUUGCCACCCCAGUGAAUCUUUUAUACUGUAUUCCAAGUGGCUUUUUAUAUUCCAACUUUGAUGAGACAAGUGUCGUCAGGAUCUAUGAUUGGCUCUCGCUCCACAAUGAAUCUCGCUGUCAGAGGUUAAAACCCCGUCUGUCACAAGUCACCGAACAGUAUUCUGUUACAGUCAAGGUUGCAGGUUAAUAUUACUCAGAAGUUCUGUUUCUUCAUUGUUUAUUACCAAGAGGCUAAUGUCAUCUAGCAGAAAAAAAAAACCUCCAAACUUAGAAUAAGAAGAUAACUGUUAUGACUGACAAUGCUGCACUUGCUACACUUUGCCUCAGAUUUCUACAGGGUGAUCGUCUUUUAAGAACAUUAUUCAUCUGAUCUGGGCACAGUUUUGUACUACAUCAGAGGAGAGGGCUUGUUAUGUUGGGCUUCUAGCCAGAAGCAAAAGAAAUGUACUGGAAGUGCUAUCUUGUCAGGUUUUUGUCUUUAGGACUAUAAUAAUUCCUAAUAUUCAUAAAGAUGAUGUCCUCUGGACCACACCUCUACGGAAACGUCAAGCCACAGGAUGAUGUCCAGCCUCAUCCUUCACCAGCUGAGUACUGCUUGUUCCAGAAUUGCGUUGCUGAAAGACUGGAGUCAUACAAAGUCAGGCAGGAGUGUCUCAAGAAAGCAAUGCCAAGACACAGCUUUGGAAACAUGGUCUAAGAGGCAUCCAGUAAUGUUUAUCAGCAUUCUGUGCAAGGAAACUCGACUAGAAUGUGAGGAAGCGCAAGAUGGAUUCUAUUACCACAGAAAAGCCAGACUUCACACCCGAAUGCCAGGCUCUGCCAGAGAAAAGGGGUUCGGGAGGAGCAGACACUGAAAAAAAAUCACAGGUUUUCAAAUCCUCGGAAUCUGCUAAAUAUUUUUAAAGAGCAGGAAAACCGGGGAGGUGGCUUGUGUGUCAUCGCAAUACUGAUCACUGGGUGAGAAGUGCACUUGUGAGCUAGUCCAGGGCUGCCUGGCGACUGCGAGAGGCGAGGGCCUGGGAGCCGGCCACCUUCCCGAGCCCGGGGUCCGGGGCUGCACGCUUGUGGACACACCUGUCUCGGGUUAUUUGGAUUCCGGCUUCAAGGCUGUGAAGCAGCUGGGAAGAGACGGAGUGAAAGUCUUUGGAAGGAAAUAAGCCCUGAAUGUGGAAUGUCCAUGAAAGAGAAACUUGUUAAAAUUCUAUGAAAAGAAGCUUUGGAAAAGACAAAAGAAUUGCUAAGAGAGCCACAAAGGCAACCGCUUGAAAGAAACAAAUUCUACUAGAAUCUCCACUACGACUUUUAUGGUUACGGAGAAAACCACUACAGGUGAAGACUGGUAGAAGGAGACAUUUUCUGAAGCGCCCGUGGAGGAGGAGCACUGGUUAGUGUCACAAGGACGAGCUCAGUCUUUGCCAAAGAUGAAGUAGUCUUUGCUUCUGCUUCGCUUCCCGCAAAACUCUUCAUAACAUGGGCUGCAUGAAAUCAAAGCAAACUUUCCCAUUUCCCACCACAUUUGAGAGCGAGAAGCAACAUGCAAGUGAAGAAAGCUUCAUGUCCGAAGAGAGAUUCCUACCCAGGAUGCCUUCCCCAGAUACCGUCAGAAAGGAAGCGAAGGAACCACCAGCGCCUAAAAUUGUGAUUUUCGAAUUUGCACACCGCCUAUCCCAGGAGAUCUUGAGUGACGCCUUGAAGCAGUGGGCAGGCGAGAACAUCAAGUACUAUGACAUCCCAUACAUUGAGAGUGAAGGGCCAUGACAUCGUAGGAGGAGGAGAACUUUCUUGAAUUGUGGGUAAAGCUGGUGCUAGUUUAAAUACGUGAAAUAGCAAAAACUGGUACGAAUAAAUACAAAUAACUCCAUUGGGAUGUAAAAAAAAAUGUCUAUGAUAAUAUCAAGAAUAUGGGAGUAACCAAAAAUGAAAUAUAUUAAGCACUUUUAGGUUAAUAGCAAUUUCUAUCUGCUUGGUCUUGGAUUUUAGUCAUUUAAAGGGCUAAACAUAGGUCCUACGCCACAGUAAUCCGCUGUAUAGCAUAUCACUUUCUUGCUGAGGCAGUAGUAGCAUCACCAAAGAAAUCAAAUGGUCAUUUUAAAGACACUCCUUUUAAAAUAACUGUUUGUUAAUUUACACACACAAAAAAAUAAGAGAUAGGAAGGAUUUUUCUUGAGAUGCCUUGGCAAGGAAAUAGCACUUAAGCUACAGUAAUUAGUAGUGGGUCAUUUAUCCAAACCAUUUGUGUCAAGGAUCCCGACUUAACACAAAUGAUGAAGCAGUAGAAAGCAACCCCUGUAGAAGGAGUCUACCUGGAAACCUAUCCUUAAGAUAUUUUUGCAGAUGAAAAGCAUUACUACCACCUUGAACCUUAGGGUUCCAGCUGUUACUGGAUGACUUGAGACUUCAUACAUAACCCAUCUGGACAAGAUACUAUUUACAGAAGUCCUGACAUUAAUGUUUAUGGUAUUGAAUUAAGCAGCCCAGUGAUAUAACAAAAAGCAAGGAUUUUUACAAAUAGCAAUCCAGUAAAUUUUAAAAUAACAGAAGCCCUAGUCGAGGUAGAGAGCAGAGCCUGUUCUCAGUGCUGCAUGUGUAUGAAGUUUUACAGCCUCAGAGGUGCAGAGGGUUGAUAUAAUGGGCCCUCACCAGAUUACUGUGGGACCAGUCUAUGCACGAGGAUGUACGGGUUGUAUUAUAUAUAACAGAUGAUUAAACACUCCUCCAAAGACAGUACUCAUGUAGUUUCUCUAUGGUAUCAAUGCCCGUAAGGCAUUUACAGCCAUAUACUAUUUUCUUAAAGUUGCCUACCUUUUUAGGGAAGCUUUUUUUUUUUUUCUAAGAAUUAAGUACUGUUUAAAAUCAGUGAUAACAAAAUUUGAGAGAGGAAGAUAGAAAACAUAACCUUUAGAAAAAAUGGGGACUUGGUCUCUAGAAUGGUCUUUUCAUCAAUGGUCUUUUCAUCAAGCAAUGGUCUUGCUUCACUUUGAGUUUAGUUAGAAAGGGAAUUAUUUAAGUAUGUGUGCAUUAGAUUCUUUUAUUAAGAUUCAAGAGACCCUUGUCACUGAUAGCUAAAGAAAGGCAGAAGGUGACUUGUGACCUCUUUAAUGAGAUACAUGCGUAUUUGGCCUUGUAAGCAGGCAGAAAUGCUACCUCUAAUUUUAAUACUUAUACUUUGAAACCCACAAUUGCAUGGACAAAGAAAGUUCUUUGAAAUGACUCAUGUGCCAUCUUUCAGUUGCCUUUGGACACCUGGUCAUUCAGCUUUCAUUUCGCUUAGUCCCAAGAUCUGGACUGUCCUGUUGUCCUUGCAAUCUAGAAACUUACAAAGUAGAAAAACCACCACCACCACCACCCCCCGUUUAUUAUAUAAAGAUCUGAAGUCCUAAGGCUAUGGAAACAAAACGUUUUCUGAAAGUUGUAAACCGUAUUUCCAGCUCAUGAAGAAAAAAUUUAGGUUUUUGAGUAUACUAAUGACUCAGACAAAAGCCUACAUGUUGCCAUUUCUCAUUCAUUUUAUAUCUCCCAUCAGGCCACUUUUGCUGCAAAGUCAUGUACUAUUUAAGAGAUAUAAUCAGAUAUAUAACAUAACGUCACGGCGAGAACACGAAGCAAUAGCCACGGUAACUACAUACACAGGCACAUAGACUGUUGAGUUUUGUUACAGCUCAAUAUUUUAACCUCAGGUUCCUCCUGUCCCUGGGCCCCUAAUUCCUGGGGGUGUAACAGGGAUGCCAAAUCCAUGUCCAGCUAGAAUUCUAAUCUCUGUUGCCACCUUGACACCGUGGCAGUAUGGUUUUGUCACCAAGCAUCAACCCCUUGCUUCUGAGUCAUUUUAACAGAGCAUAGACUUAAAAAAAAAAAAAAAAAAAAAAAAAAAAAACAGAGCAUAGACUUAUCUCGGAAAUACACACUGUUCUAUGUCAAACAUGGGUGAGGAACUACAAGGCUUGCAUAAUCGGGAGGUAGUAGAUAAGCCAAGUUGGAGGCAGGCAGGAAAAAGAACUAGGUAAACAGAUUUGUGCUGCAUGUGAUAAUUAUCAAGAUCUAGUUUGACCUUGAUGACACGACAGAUGAGAACAUCUCUGAUAGGAGAGUUGCCUUCAUGCCUUCCCAUCUAAGUAUUGGAUUUACUUCAUUUUGAACUUUCACAAACAGUAAAAGAAUGGAAGAUCGAACUGAGAAGGGAGGAACAUAAUAAAGCAGAAGACCAAAAGAGUAAUUAGCUACUGGAAAGGGAAACAUUUGUCCCAACUUAGAUCACACAGACUGAUGAAAAUAAGAGUAGUGGCCCAAUUGUAAGGGAAAAGACACCAGGGAAAAGAGGCCCACGAGCUCGCACUCAGGUCGGGCUCCAUCAGGAGACACUGCAAAGACAAGUCUCCGAUGCUCUCGACUGAGGAAAGGGACAGAGUAGCAAGUUCCCUUCUUUACCACGGUGACUCCUGCCCAACCACUGAUCUUUUCCCUUGAGAACAUCAAGGAUAGAGCCUGAUGAGCCGCCACCAGUGAGAUGAAGAACUUGCAGAUGGCAACUGUAGACACAGCAGAUAAUGAGAGGAGAUGCGCCAAUUCCUCACUUAAGCCCACAAAAGUGCUUCACUGCUCCCUUCCGCAGGUAAAGGUCUCUUGUGGGCUAUUACCUUCCAAUUACAAGCUUCUGGUCCCAGAGUUCCCAAUUUUCAGUUGCCUUACCUGUUUGCAAACUAUCUAUGGUCGUUAGCACUCAGAGCACAAUUUUGAAGGAGAUAAUUAUCUUGGUUCCAAAGGAAUAAUUUGUGUCAAAUUGCCUUAUUAGUAUUAAAAACAGACACAAUGAAGGAAGGAGGUAGCGUGACACUCCUAUAUCCUAUUUAAUAUCAUUGGCAUUUUAUGAGAAGAGGGAGCUAUACUUUUGGAUUAUAUAGUUUUAGAAAAAAGAGACACGUGAUAAUGUCAAGGAACAGUAAUUUAAAAACAAAGUUCCAACAAGUAUAUUGUUUGCGUAAUCAUAAUGUGUGAUUCAUCCUGUAUUUGUGUGACCAAAUAGGACGUGUCUUCCCUGGAGCAGUGGCCACGGGCUCAGACGUACUCCCUAUCUUAAUUUGCAGAACUGAAGUUUUGUUAGCUAAUUCUCUUCCCUGUAAGACUUAGCUAUGAAAUGGUAUAUUUUUCUUCAAAUAUUUUUGUGAAAACAUUUUUUUUCUAAUCAUUCAAUAAAAGUCUAGUUGCAAUUCA